GCCGGAGUGGUGGAAUUGGCAGACACGCAGCACUCAAAAUGCUGUGCCUUCGCGGCGUGUGGGUUCGAGUCCCACCUCCGGCACCA
rnacentral:tRNA from 1 species